UGGAACUGAGACACGGUCCAGACUCCUACGGGAGGCAGCAGUAGGGAGUAUUCGGCAAUGGGGGAAACCCUGACCGAGCAACGCCGCGUGAAUGAUGAAGGUCUUCGGAUUGUAAAAUUCUGUGGUAAGAGAAGAAAGAUAUAAAGAGGAAAUGCUUUGUAUUUGACGGUAUCUUGCUAGAAAGCCACGGCUAACUACGUGCCAGCAGCCGCGGUAAUACGUAGGUGGCAAGCGUUAUCCGGAAUUACUGGGCGUAAAGAGUGAGCAGGCGGUUAGAUAAGUCUAUGGUUAAAUGCAACAGCUCAACUGUUGUUCGCUAUAGAAACUAUUUAACUAGAGUGCGGGAGAGGUAAGUGGAACUCCAUAUGUAGCGGUGGAAUGCUUAGAUAUAUGGAAGAACACCAGAGGCGAAGGCGGCUUACCAGUCCGUAACUGACGCUCAGUCACGAAAGCGUGGGGAGCAAAUAGGAUUAGAUAUCCUAGUAGUCCACGCCGUAAACGAUGAGAACCUGAUGCAGGAGAUAUUCUGUGUCGAAGCUAACGCGUUAAGUUCUCCGCCUGGGUACUACGUUCGCAAGAAUAAAACUUAAAGGAAUUGACGGGGGCCCGCACAAGCAGUGGAGCAUGGGGUUUAAUUCGUCGAUACACGAAAAACCUUACCAGGGCUUGACAUCCCGCUAAAAGCCUUAGAAAUAAGGAAAUAGUUAUAGCGGUGACAGGUGGUGCAUGGUUGUCGUCAGCUCGUGCCGUGAGGUGUUAGGUUAAGUCCUCAAACGAGCGCAACCCUUGUCUUUAGUUGCCAUUAUUAAUUUAGGAACUCUAGAGAGACUGCCGGCGCAAGCCGGAGGAAGGCGGGGAUGACGUCAAAUCAUCAUGCCCUUUAUGCCCUGGGCCACACCCGUGCUACAAUGGUCGGUACAAAGAGAAGCAACACUGUGAGGUGAAGCAAAUCCCAUAAAGCCGAUCUCAAUUCGGAUUGAAGUCUGCAACUCGACUUCAUGAAGCUGGAAUUGCUAGUAAUCGCAGAUCAGCAACGCUGCGGUGAAUACGUUCUCGGGCGUUGUACACACUGCCCGUCACACCAUGAGAGCCGGUAAUACUCGAAGUCGUUAGCCUAACCGUAAGGAGGGCGGCGCCUAAGGUAGGACUGGUGAUUGGGGUUAAGUCGUAACAAGGUAUCCCUACGAGAACGUGGGGAUG
rnacentral:rRNA from 1 species